GAGGUUCACCACACCGAAGUGUAGGACUGCAACAUUCCAGAGAUCGUUUGUAUCCAGGUGUGCGAGAGUAUGGAAUGUUCUACCAAAAGAGUUGACAACAAAGAACAUAAGCUUAGGUCGUUUCAAAAGCGAUCUCUAUGAAUAUUACAAAUCGGCUCUGAACAUUUACGACGCAGAAAAUCCUAGAACAUAGAAGUCUGUAUGUUUGUCUUGUAACAAGUCUCGUAAUUUGUCUUGUUCAAAUUCGUGUUGUUAUUAAUUCUAAUGUGUGUCCCUGUGUUGGUCUUGUUAAGCUUCAUUGUCAGCUAAUUUCCACUCAGGAAAAUUUUCCGCAGGAGCGAACGCCGUUGGAACUAACGACUUUAGCACUAUGUAACUUUCCUUCCGUUAUUAUCCUGCGGAGGGUUUUCCUGGGUGCAAACUGGCCUUUUUAUAUUACUAAAGAUCUAAUGUAGAAUGUGUCAUGUUCGUUCUGUAAGGGCUGCUGUAAUUGGCGUAAAGCUGUAGCAGAUACCCUGCCAUUGAUUGAUUGAUUGAUAGUUUGUAUAUUCUCAGUUGUGUUUGUAUUUGUGCAGAUAUGAUUGUGUGAAAUUGGCAAAGCAUAAUAAAUAUAUAGGGGCAUCGAAUCAACCUCGAGAAACCGCCAGGCUAGAUCGUAGUAUUGGCAGAAGGGGCACGCAAUACCUGGCAACAUCUGACGGCAUAGUAUUUGGAAGAACUAUUGGAAGGCUCGUAGGACACGACAUCAGAACCGGUAAUUAUAAUUUUUUGCUUGGCAGGUCUGACAGCAAUGUCAUUGCAGGCCAUAGAAGGUGUUCCUGUCAGACUAUUAACAUCGAGAUCUUCCACAACAAGAACUUCCAGGGUGAAGGGCUUGCUUCACUGACGAGUGACGAUAAAAAAGGGAGUACGCUCAUCAUGCAGCUUGUAAUGCUAGCUGUGAACUCUUAGAUAACUUGUUCUUGGCAUUUGUUAGCGAGAGAGGCCUUUAUCAUAGCAACCACCCGUCUAUCAUAGGACUUCCCUACAUUAUCCCUAAGCAACACCCGUUCAAUGGCUAAUAAACUGGAUGAGAUCAGUGUAACUAUUAGUAAUAAUAAAUGUGAUAUCGCAAUCAUCACAGAAUCAUGGCUUUCAUCAAACAUUAUGAAUGAUCUCAUUAAGAUCCCC